rnacentral:rRNA from 1 species
UGGGGAGAUUCAUCGUCAGCGUAUUCAGUAUUAAUGCAGGCUAUGAUGUGAUGAUAGAAUCCUCGUGGUCACUAAAUUAUACUUGCUUGUAUUAUUUUUGCUGGGUASGUCGGCGYKCAYUUCUCCUNUAGUAGAACSUCGCAACCCGUUGGAUGUUUAUUUGCUGCAAGUGGGGCUUUAUUCUGGUAGUGCGGAUUUAAYGCCGUCGCUGGAAAAAGUCUGCUGUUGGCUGUMAUGUCUUUAACUGGCUUAUUUACUGGKUAGCGAUGCUACUGCUUUGGGUACUUACAGGACCCGUCUUGAAACACGGACCAAGGAGUCUAACAUGUGCGCGAGUCAUUGGGAUAUAUUUAUAUAACUCAAACCUAAAGGCGUAAUGAAAGUAUAGAUUGUCUUAAGACAAUUGAGGGAAGAUGGGUUGCGUUACGAUGUAAUCCCGCAUUCCCAGGACGUCCU